AAGGCACCAUCUUUUACCUCUUUUCUUGGGGUUGUUUGCAGUAGGGCAAGUUAGCUAUUCUGUUGUGAGGAUACACAAGCAAUUUAUAAAGAGGCUCAUGUGGCAAUAAUGGGGAACUCUUGCCAACCCCAUGGAAUGGAGCCAUCCAGGAAACAGACACCCAGGUCCAGUCCAACUGUCAGAUGCCUGAAGCUUUUGCCAACACCUUGAGCUUACCACAGUGGAAUGAGGACCUGGACUGGGCCACCCAGGUCGUGAAUUGUGCCCUUUCCUCAACCUCAGUCUUUCUCAACUGGCUGUUUCUUAAAGAAGCAGAGAGGGGAAGAGGUCCAUAGCUCCAGGCUGUGAACUUCCAGAAAUGUGAG
rnacentral:lncRNA from 1 species